UACGUAGGUGGCAAGCGUUGUUCGGAUUUACUGGGCGUAAAGGGCGCGUAGGCGGCCUGUGCAAGUCAGUUGUGAAAUCUCCGGGCUUAACUCGGAAAGGUCAACUGAUACUGCUCGGCUAGAGUGCGGAAGGGGCAACUGGAAUUCUUGGUGUAGCGGUGAAAUGCGUAGAUAUCAAGAGGAACACCUGCGGCGAAGGCGGGUUGCUGGGCCGACACUGACGCUGAAGUGCGAAAGCCAGGGGAGCGAACGGG
rnacentral:rRNA from 1 species